rnacentral:rRNA from 1 species
UACAGAGGGUGCGAGCGUUGUCCGGAAUCACUGGGCGUAAAGGGCGCGUAGGCGGUCGCGUAAGCGUGUGGUGAAAGCCCGGGGCUCAACCCCGGGUCGGCCAUGCGAACUGCGGGACUGGAGCCGAUCAGAGGCAGGCGGAAUUCCGGGUGUAGCGGUGGAAUGCGUAGAGAGUCCGGAAGAACACCAACGGCGAAAGCACUCUGCUGGGCCGACACUGACACUGGAGAGACGAAAGCUAGGGGAGCGAAUGG